CCUACGGGAGGCAGCAGUGGGGAAUAUUGGACAAUGGGGGGAACCCUGAUCCAGCCAUGCCGCGUGUGUGAAGAAGGCCCUCGGGUUGUAAAGCACUUUCAGUGAGGAAGAACGCCUGGUGGUUAAUACCCAUCAGGAAAGACAUCACUCACAGAAGAAGCACCGGCUAACUCCGUGCCAGCAGCCGCGGUAAUACGGAGGGUGCGAGCGUUAAUCGGAAUUACUGGGCGUAAAGCGCGCGUAGGUGGCUUGAUAAGCCGGUUGUGAAAGCCCCGGGCUCAACCUGGGAACGGCAUCCGGAACUGUCAAGCUAGAGUGCUGGAGAGGAAGGUAGAAUUCCCGGUGUAGCGGUGAAAUGCGUAGAGAUCGGGAGGAAUACCAGUGGCGAAGGCGGCCUUCUGGACUGACACUGACACUGAGGUGCGAAAGCGUGGGUAGCAAACAGGAUUAGAUACCCCAGUAGUC
rnacentral:rRNA from 1 species